rnacentral:rRNA from 1 species
CUACGGGUUGCUGCAGUGGGGAAUAUUGCACAAUGGGCGCAAGCCUGAUGCAGCCAUGCCGCGUGUAUGAAGAAGGCCUUCGGGUUGUAAAGUACUUUCAGCGGGGAGGAAGGGAGUAAAGUUAAUACCUUUGCUCAUUGACGUUACCCGCAGAAGAAGCACCGGCUAACUCCGUGCCAGCAGCCGCGGUAAUACGGAGGGUGCAAGCGGUAAUCGGAAUUACUGGGCGUAAAGCGCACGCAGGCGGUUUGUUAAGUCAGAUGUGAAAUCCCCGGGCUCAACCUGGGAACUGCAUCUGAUACUGGCAAGCUUGAGUCUCGUAGAGGGGGGUAGAAUUCCAGGUGUAGCGGUGAAAUGCGUAGAGAUCUGGAGGAAUACCGGUGGCGAAGGCGGCCCCCUGGACGAAGACUGAUGCUCAGGUGCGAAAGCGUGGGGAGCAAACAGGAUUAGAUACCCCCGUAGUC